rnacentral:Y_RNA from 1 species
GGCUGGACAGAAGGUAGUGAGUUAUCUCACUGGAUUGUUCACAGUCAGUCACAAAUUGAACUCUUUGUUGUACUACUUUCCCCUCUUCUCACUACUUCACUUGACUAGUCAAAA